GCAGCCGACUGUGGUAGUACCUUUACAGAAGAUCACAACAAAAUAAUACAGUUUUCAAGCAGUGUUUUGUUCUUGUUGGUUAUUAAGGUGACAAGAGAUCCUGGGAGAAAUUAGAUAUGGGGUCGGCAACGCGCUUGUGAUGCUUCUAGUUUUGCAGACGCGUAUAAGUUACGGUAAUCACUUACCGUCAGGUAGUAUAAAAGCAAACGCUUAUGAUGUUUAAUGACGUGGAGGUACUAAUUACACAAUAAAAAUUAGGAAUUGAUGUUUAAUUAUAAAUUUAUAAUCUAGAAUUAA